rfam:Picea glauca, whole genome shotgun sequence.
GCAACGGUGUCUUUAGACACCACCUCUUAUGUCUUCGAAAUUUUA